CCCUAGAACGAACGCUGGCGGCAGGCUUAACACAUGCAAGUCGAACGCAUCGCAAGAUGAGUGGCAGACGGGUGAGUAACGCGUGGGAACGUACCCUUUACUACGGAAUAACUCAGGGAAACUUGUGCUAAUACCGUAUGUGCCCUUCGGGGGAAAGAUUUAUCGGUAAAGGAUCGGCCCGCGUUGGAUUAGCUAGUUGGUGGGGUAAAGGCCUACCAAGGCGACGAUCCAUAGCUGGUCUGAGAGGAUGAUCAGCCACAUUGGGACUGAGACACGGCCCAAACUCCUACGGGAGGCAGCAGUGGGGAAUAUUGGACAAUGGGCGCAAGCCUGAUCCAGCCAUGCCGCGUGAGUGAUGAAGGCCCUAGGGUUGUAAAGCUCUUUCACCGGUGAAGAUAAUGACGGUAACCGGAGAAGAAGCCCCGGCUAACUUCGUGCCAGCAGCCGCGGUAAUACGAAGGGGGCUAGCGUUGUUCGGAAUUACUGGGCGUAAGCGCACGUAGGCGGGUAUUUAGUCAGGGGUGAAUCCCGGAGCUCAACUCCGGAACUGCCUUUGAUACUGGGUACCUAGAGUAUGGGAGAGGUGAGUGGAAUUCCCAGUGUAGCGGUGAAAUGCGUAGAUAUUGGGAGGAACACCAGUGGCGAAGGCGGCUCACUGGACCGGAACUGACGCUGAGGCGCGAAAGCGUGGGGAGCAAACAGGAUUAGAUACCCUGGUAGUCCACGCCGUAAACGAUGAGUGCUUGGUGUAGCGGGUAUCGACCCCUGCUGUGCCGACGUCAACACAUUAAGCACUCCGCCUGGGGAGUACGGUCGCAAGACUGAAACUCAAAGGAAUUGACGGGGGCUCACACAAGCGGUGGAGCAUGUGGCUUAAUUCGAGGCUACGCGAAGAACCUUAUCCUAGGCUUGACAUGUGCGAUAGCGUUUGAGCGGUAACUACCGGAAACGGAUAGUGAUUCCUCGCAAGAGGAGGACUCAAUACAGGUGCUGCAUGGCUGUCGUCGGCUCGUGUCGUGAGAUGUCGGGUUAAGUCCCUUAACGAGCGAAACCCUUACCUUUAGUU
rnacentral:rRNA from 1 species